rnacentral:lncRNA from 1 species
AUCUGCCCUGAAAUUUUCAGAUGAAUCGGACAACCUGUUGUUGGGUUGCUGCCCCUGAAUUGGUAAUUAAGUCUCCCAAACAAAGUUUGGAGACUUAUUGGUUUUGCUCAGUUCUUAUUAUUUUUAUGGCACCCUCAACGGAGUUGGGGUGACAUAUUGUUAUUCUACGUUUCUUUUUUUUUAUGGCACCCUCAACGGAGUUGGGGUGACAUAUUGUUAUUCUACGUUUCUUUUUUUUCUUAUUAUUUUUAUUUUUCUUCCACACAUUUUGUCCGCGCGAGUUCUCAGAAUUGAACCUGGACCAAUGUUUAUGGAACUCAACUAUAAUGAAGAACCCCACUUGAAGUUGUGCACCUUGCUAUGGAAUGGUAAAAGAUGGCCGCCGUUUC